rnacentral:piRNA from 1 species
UAAAAACAGACACGCUCACAUCCCAAGUGA